rnacentral:tRNA from 1 species
AAGAUGCUAGUUAAAUAAUAACUUUAGCUUGUCAGACUAAUAUUACUCUAAGUGCCUCUUU